CGGGGCUGGAGGGGAGAGGGGAGAGGGGAGGCGCGCGCGUUCCGGCCAUUUUCAGCUCUGGUGGAGCUAAGUUUGGAAUCGUAACCUGGAGGAG
rfam:Oryctolagus cuniculus cont2.68305, whole genome shotgun sequence.